rnacentral:misc_RNA from 1 species
GUUUAGGGUACCGGUUCGAGCUGAUUCCGGAUACAAACGGUGGGAUGAGCGCGGCGGGGAUUGUACUGGCGGAGUCGGCUCUGAACAUAAAUAAAGGCGGGAAGUUCGUGAUCGACUUGGGUGGAAGCUCGAACGGGAGGUCGACGCCGGUGAACACAACGUCGCCGGCGUGCAGCCCGAGAAGCAGUGGAGACUAUGGCUAUGGGCUGUGGCCUUACUGCGUGUAUAGAGGGUUUGUGAUGGGGGCUAGCGUGGAAGGGGAAGGGAAAUGCAGUAAGCCAAGAGUGGAAGUUAGUGUGCAGCACGUGAACUGCACGGAAGACGCGGCCGCAUUCGUGGCACUAGCAGCGGCCAUCGAUCUUAGCAUGGACGCUUGCAGGCUUUUCUCACACAGACUCAGGAAGGAACUAUGUCAGCCAUUGGAUCUUCUUGCUUGAGAUUCCAUCUCAUCUUUCUCAAGCAAACAAACAGAACAAAAC